UCAGAAGUGGCAACUAUACCAAAGGAAACAACAAUUAUUGCUGAAACCACAAUAACAGAAGAAACAACUACAACAACAGUGAUAACUACCACAGCGGUUCCUUGCAAAGGAAUGUGGUCUGAGUGGAUUAAUGACAACACUCCAAAUGAUGAGCAAAAGGACGAUAAAGAAUCAUUGGAUCCAACC